AUACACACACAAAUAUAUACACAUAAUGGCAAUAUAUAUAUAUGUGAGUGUGUGUGUGUGUGUAUAUGUAUGUAUAUAUGUGUGUGUGUAU